UCGAGUCGGCCUGCGCGGAAGAUGUAACGGGGCUAAACCAUGCACCGAAGCUGCGGCAGCGACACUUAGGUGUUGUUGGGUAGGGGAGCGUUCUGUAAGCCGUUGAAGGUGACCUGUGAGGGUUGCUGGAGGUAUCAGAAGUGCGAAUGCUGACAUAAGUAACGAUAAUGCGGGUGAAAAACCCGCACGCCGGAAGACCAAGGGUUCCUGUCCAACGUUAAUCGGGGCAGGGUGAGUCGACCCCUAAGGCGAGGCUGAAAAGCGUAGUCGAUGGGAAACAGGUUAAUAUUCCUGUACUUGGUGUUACUGCGAAGGGGGGACGGAGAAGGCUAGGCUGGCCGGGCGACGGUUGUCCCGGUUUAAGCGUGUAGGGGGAGUGACCAGGUAAAUCCGGUUGCUUAUCAACCCUGAGGCGUGAUGACGAUGCACCACGGUGCAGAAGCAGUUGAUGCCAUGCUUCCAGGAAAAGCCUCUAAGCAUCAGGUAACAUUAAAUCGUACCCCAAACCGACACAGGUGGUCAGGUAGAGAAUACUCAGGCGCUUGAGAGAACUCGGGUGAAGGAACUAGGCAAAAUGGUGCCGUAACUUCGGGAGAAGGCACGCUGGCGUUAGGUGAAAGGACUAGCUCCUGGAGCUGAAGCCAGUCGCAGAUACCAGCUGGCUGCAACUGUUUAAUAAAAACACAGCACUGUGCAAACACGAAAGUGGACGUAUACGGUGUGACGCCUGCCCGGUGCUGGAAGGUUAAUUGAUGGGGUCAGCCGCAAGGCGAAGCUCUUGAUCGAAGCCCCAGUAAACGGCGGCCGUAACUAUAACGGUCCUAAGGUAGCGAAAUUCCUUGUCGGGUAAGUUCCGACCUGCACGAAUGGCGUAAUGAUGGCCAGGCUGUCUCCACCCGAGACUCAGUGAAAUUGAACUCGCUGUGAAGAUGCAGUGUACCCGCGGCAAGACGGAAAGACCCCGUGAACCUUUACUAUAGCUUGACACUGAACAUUGAGCCUUGAUGUGUAGGAUAGGUGGGAGGCCUUGAAGUGUGGACGCCAGUCUGCAUGGAGCCAACCUUGAAAUACCACCCUUUAAUGUUUGAUGUUCUAACUCGGCCCCAUGAUCUGGGGUGAGGACAGUGUCUGGUGGGUAGUUUGACUGGGGCGGUCUCCUCCCAAAGAGUAACGGAGGAGCACGAAGGUUAGCUAAUCACGGUCGGACAUCGUGAGGUUAGUGCAAAGGCAUAAGCUAGCUUGACUGCGAGAGUGACGGCUCGAGCAGGUACGAAAGUAGGUCUUAGUGAUCCGGUGGUUCUGAAUGGAAGGGCCAUCGCUCAACGGAUAAAAGGUACUCCGGGGAUAACAGGCUGAUACCGCCCAAGAGUUCAUAUCGACGGCGGUGUUUGGCACCUCGAUGUCGGCUCAUCACAUCCUGGGGCUGAAGUAGGUCCCAAGGGUAUGGCUGUUCGCCAUUUAAAGUGGUACGCGAGCUGGGUUUAGAACGUCGUGAGACAGUUCGGUCCCUAUCUGCCGUGGGCGUUGGAAGAUUGAGAGGGGCUGCUCCUAGUACGAGAGGACCGGAGUGGACGAAUCACUGGUGUUCGGGUUGUCAUGCCAAUGGCAUUGCCCGGUAGCUAAAUUCGGAAGAGAUAACCGCUGAAAGCAUCUAAGCGGGAAACUUGCCUCGAGAUGAGUCUUCCCUGGGACUUAAAGUCCCCUGAAGGAACGUUAAAGACUAUGACGUUGAUAGGCUGGGUGUGUAAGUGCAGCGAUGUAUUGAGCUAACCAGUACUAAUGAUCCGUGAGGCUUAACCUUACAACACCGAAGGUGUUU
rnacentral:rRNA from 1 species